GAUGAACGCUGGCGGCGUGCCUAAUACAUGCAAGUCGAGCGAACGGACGAGAAGCUUGCUUCUCUGAUGUUAGCGGCGGACGGGCGAGUAGCACGUGGAUAACCUACCUAUAAUACUGGGAUAACUUCGGGAAACCGGAUCUAAUACCGGAUAAUAUUUUGAACCGCAUGGUUCAAAAGUGAAAGACGGCCUUGCUGUCUCUUAUAGAUGGAUCCGCGCUGCAUUAGAGAGUGGGUAAGGUAACGGCUCACCAAGGCAACGAUGCAGAGCCGACCUGAGAGGAUGGUCAGACAAACGGGAACUGAGACACGCGCCAGACUCCUACGGGAGGCAGCAGUGGGGAAUAUUGGACAAGGGGCGCAAGCCUUGUACAGCAAUACCGCGUGGGUGAAAAAGGUCUUCGGGUUGUAAAGCCCUUUUGUUGGGAAAGAAAAGCAGGAGGUUAAUACCUCGCUGUACUGACGGUACCCAAAGAAUAAGCACCGGCGAACUUCGUG
rnacentral:rRNA from 1 species